rnacentral:misc_RNA from 1 species
GUUGUUAGUGAUUAGCUGUUAAAGUAAAAGUGGUUGGUAAAAAAUAAUUGUUAGUUUAACAGUUAAAUGUAAAAAUAGUGAUAUAUUCUUAUUGAUCUAAUUAAAAUGCUCUCGCAACCUCUAAAAGUUAGGAGCAGUAACUUUCAUGAAUUACUCUCUCAAUUUCUAUACACUAGUAUAAAAUAGUAUAAAUAAGAGAGUCAAAACAAUAAAAACUACCUUAAUACUGUUAUUGCUAAACAGGGCUUAAAGGGGGCUGAGGUUU